rnacentral:tRNA from 12 species
GCCCGGAUGGUGGAAUCGGUAGACACAAGGGAUUUAAAAUCCCUCGGCUGUAAGGCUGUGUGGGUUCAAGUCCCACUCCGGGCACCA